UUCAUGGAGAGUUUGAUCCUGGCUCAGGACGAACGCUGGCGGCGUGCCUAAUACAUGCAAGUCGAGCGGACCGACGGGAGCUUGCUCCCUUAGGUCAGCGGCGGACGGGUGAGUAACACGUGGGUAACCUGCCUGUAAGACUGGGAUAACUCCGGGAAACCGGGGCUAAUACCGGAUGCUUGAUUGAACCGCAUGGUUCAAUCAUAAAAGGUGGCUUUUAGCUACCACUUACAGAUGGACCCGCGGCGCAUUAGCUAGUUGGUGAGGUAACGGCUCACCAA
rnacentral:rRNA from 1 species